UUUCGUGUCCCGCAGGGUAACCGCUCGUCGGCCAAGCUGAAGCAGUGCAAGCUCGACGCGCGCCGCGAGCAGUGGCUGUCGCAAGGUCUGAUACCGUGCCUGCUCGUGUAUAUUCUUUUACAUGUGUUCUUGGUCUUUUCCCCUUGCUCUCUCGUCCCCAAUCCCGGAAGUUGGGAUCGCUGCGUGCCGUAGUUGCGGCGUCUCUCGUCUUUGGGUGCCUGUGGGAGAGCUGGGAUACUUACGGGAAUCUGAUUAUUUCGGAGAAAGGGUGAUCGGGAUACUCUGGUAAAAGGGUAAAACGCGACUUUUAUUUCGGAGAAAGGUCAUAUUUGUGCAAUAGAGGGUUAUACCUUGUACUAGAUGUUUCCCUAUAACCUUUUUGAUAUUUACUAACACACUUGUACUUUUAUCUGAUGAGCUAUUUAACAUGUAUUUUGCAUUUUGUGAGAAAGUUGAAGCCAAAGGAAGAACAACAUACAAUGAGGU
rnacentral:lncRNA from 1 species